rnacentral:rRNA from 1 species
UGUACCUACGGGACGCAGCAGUGGGGAAUAUUGCACAAUGGGGGAAACCCUGAUGCAGCAACGCCGCGUGAGUGAAGAAGGUUUCGGCUCGUAAAGCUCUGUUGUUGGAGAAGAACGUGCGUGAGAGUAACUGUUCACGCAGUGACGGUAUCCAACCAGAAAGUCACGGCUAACUACGUGCCAGCAGCCGCGGUAAUACGUAGGUGGCAAGCGUUAUCCGGAUUUAUUGGGCGUAAAGCGAGCGCAGGCGGUUGCCUUGGUCU